UACGAUUGCUUAACAUAUCGCUAAAUUUGUGACAUAAAAGGAAUAAGAAUUCUAGUUAGUGAGAUUGUAAGUCUCCCCUCUUUCAUGGUAUUGUGUGGAAACUUGGCCUUUUUUCCUUCCUUUGGAAGAUGAUUUGGUUCAAGGAUCCAUGCUUGUGAUAAGUGGGUUGAGUGUUGUCCAAAGAAUGUCUUGAAAGGAAAAGCAAAAAC
rnacentral:lncRNA from 1 species